GUUGGUUGUGCUGUGAAGAAGAAGAAGGAGUCAGUGCUGUGAGGGGCUGUCCAUGAGAAAUCACUGAGAAGAUAUAUUGUAAGUAGACUCCAGGUGAAGCUCCCAGCAUGCUGCAUAUUUACUGCCAUAUGUUCAGGAGGUUGUGAACAGAAAAAAGACACUUGUGCACUCUUACCCCCUUGCUUCCAUGAGUCUACAGCCAACCCUUCCAGAGCCUGACUUGGUGAAAUCUUUGGGUCUGGCCAGGCUGCAACUCACUCUGCUGACUGUGCUGGGUACAUCUGUUGUGCAGAAGGGACUCUGAGAUGAGCAGUUUGGGUGAGGAGGAUGAUUUUCUCCACACUCACAACCAGGCAGAUGAAUCCCAAGUCUGGUAUUAAAAAAAUACCUGUGUGUCCCUUGGACAGCUGCUAUAUUGGUUGCCCAACAUAUCUAGACUGCAUGGCACCAGGUUAUUUAAGGUCUCUCAUUUCUGCAGCCCAUUAAGCAAUCUUGUUAAGCUCUGGUUUAAUGAAGACAAGCACAAAUAUAUUAAAGAUAAAUGGAGUCAGAAACUUUACAGCUCAAUCUUGUUAAUGAGUUAACUAUAAGAUAAUGCCAGCUUUCAUUUGAAUUACUUCACACAAGGAAUCCACUCUGAGGAGGGAGGACUGUGGCUGAUAAGGAAGAAGUGUCAUUGUCAUGGCUUGAUGCCUGAACUUAAAGCAGUGAACAUGAUAAUGGGAACUUAUUAGGAAGGUAACAGCGUUAUAUUCCAUGCUGCUCAAAGUAGUAAAAUUUAAUGCUGUAUUACUGAAAAAUGAAGGUGGUGGUGAGUAACAGAGGCAAAAAUAAUGCAGACUUUUGGAACAGGAUAUUGGAAGUGAAUUUCAAAACAUAUCAUCUUGAUGCUAAGCAUGAGUAAAGAAAAAAAAUCAACACAUUGAGCCUUAGGAAUUAUGAGGGAAGGAGUGAAGACUGAAACAACUUUUACCACUGGGUGUGCAUUACAACAUUAU